GUUUGUGUGUGUCUAGGCUCGAAAAUAUUACUGCGCAGGCCAUGUUUAGUGUUUAAAUCCUUUGUUUCCUCUAGUGUAAACACACACACUAUAGCUAUCCUCUGAGCUGACGGUAGCAACACACACACGCAUGCGCGCUACACAAGGUAACAGGCGUUUAGAAGUCUCGCGCGCGCUCCUUUGACGUGUGAGGAGGAGAAAGCGGCCUGCGGUGAGUCCGCACCUCCCCUUCAUUCUGUAAACGCGCUGAGGGUCUCCGCACAGCCGAGCUCGUCUGGAGAGUUGGCUAUCAAACAGCUGAUCCUGGGUUGUGUGUAUAGUACUGAAUCCAGACUGACAACCGGAGCAUUCAAAAAAGUUACCAAGCAACAGCGGAGAUGAAACCUGAUGGGGUUGCUCCAACUCCUCCUGAGCCAGCAGAUGAUGUGGUGGAGGCUGUCCCCGAAGAAGCUGCAAAUGAUCAGGUCCAACAAGACUCGAGUCCAUCAUGUCCACAGCCUACUGUCUCUGAAGAAGCUGCAAAUGAGGAUCAGGUCCAACAAGACUCGAGUCCAUCGUGUCUACAGCCUGCUGUCCCUAAAAACGAAGGUGAGCAACAAGGCUCAAACGCAACACUGCCUCCUCCUGGAAAAGAUGUUAAUGGGAAAUCUUCAAAACCUAAAGAAAAGACUAAAGCACCAGUAAAGACCAAGCCUGGUACAACAGGCACCAAAGCAACAACCACAACAGGUACUGCGUCUCGCCCUGCUGCUGCACAAAGCCGAGUGACCAAUGGUGUUCUGAAGGCCUUAAAUGGUGCAAGCAAGAAACCUGCGAGUAUGACCUCAGAGAUGAAGAAAAGUGCCCCAGUUGGAGGAUCUCAAGUCAAGAAAGUGCCCACCGCUGCAACUGGAGUUCCAAGAACACAAGUGAAGGCAGCUGAACGUAACGCUCUUGGGUCUGCCAGGCCAGUACCCUCCGCAAGUAGCAGGACAAGAAAAACACCAGUAGCAACCUCGUCAGCACUGAGCAAAAAGCCAGUCACGGAAGGCAGUAAUGCUGCAGUCAAACCCAAGACCACAGCCCCAAGGCCUCCUACUGCACCUGCUGCCAAAGCCAGUGUUUCGGCUGCCUCCAAACCUGCCCCUAGUCCCAAGACAACCAGGCCUACUGUAGCAACUGUUUCUCGUCCGGCCACUUCCUCAACGCCAGUUAGACCAACAACCACGGCUAGUAAAUCUGCAGCCUUAAGAACUCUCUCUGCUCCCUCUGCUGCCCACUCUGCAUCAUCACAGCCUUCCAAGAGCUCCACUAAUGUAGCAGCUAAAAGAGAUAUUAAAACUACCACCAGCGCAGCGGCCAGAAAACCGUUAGUCUGUCCUACUACACGCUCUCCAGCUACAAAGGCCUAUAAAAAUGAACCCCCCAAACCUGGUAUACCUGCCAAACGAUUACCUACGGACACUAAAACAUCUCAACCAAAAAUGGAUGAAACUAGACAAGUACCAAUACGGAAGUUCCCUCCAAGUCCCCGAAACGUUUCCUCACGUCCUCCUUCAGGUAACCACAAGCAGGGAGGAGCAAGUAGUAACCUAGUCUCUGUGAAGCAUCAAACAACCAAACCAGUGCAAUCUGUUGUGCCGUUAGUCAGACAACAGUCAGAGCCUGUGGAACCCUCUGCAACUUUGGAAACGACUGCUCCUGUACCAACUGCAGCUAUAACACCAGUAGAAUCUGUGAUUGAAGCACAACCUACUUCAGUAGAGCUAGUACAGCCUGAUCAGCAGACCAGUACACUUGAUCAGGGAGGUGGUGUGCAAGUACCUGCCUCAGAGCCUACAAAUGUGGACACCGUUUCCACCCAAGAGACAACAGAUGCUGAGCCAUUAGCUAUACAGUCAACAACUAAUGUGCCUGUUGUACGAGAAUCUGAAAAAGUUAAUGACCAAAUUUUGGUCGUGGCACCAAUGGCCCAAGAAAUGACUGAGCAAGAACCUGUAACUGCUUCACGAUCUGAGGUCCCAAUUACUGUCCAAGUGUCCCCAAAGGACUUGGAGGUUGUUGAGAAGCAAGAGCAAAUGAUUCGCAAUUUUGAAGAUGAUGAGGAAGAAGAAAAAGAGGGCAGUCAGCAGGUGUCUGUGUCUGACAUGAGUGGUACACAGCCUACUGAAGAGUCUAGGCCUGGAUCAGCUGGCCUGGCUGGUUCAGUAUGGCGAGCAGGAGGCCUGCCCUCAGAAUUUGACUCGGAAGAUGUAAGCUGUAGCCAGCAGGGGGCCUCAGAGCUUAGUGCUCCUGGUGUUUUAGAGGGCACUGAAAGUAUGGAUGAUCUAGGUGAGGCUAGCCUGAAAGGUGCUGAUGGUGAAGGUGCAUCAGCUGGAUCUCCAGACUUUGAGAAGUUCCCUGAUAUUCCAGUCAAUGAAGAUGACGAUGAAGAUGAUGAAUAUGAUGAUGAAGAUCGUGUUGAUGAUAUGGAAGUAGGAUCAGAAAUGACCGAAGACCCACACAGGCAGUACAAUGACAACGAGGAUGAAGAUGAAGAUGUGGAGAUGGCAAGUGAGGGUGUUACAGAGAGUGGCCUUGAAAGUUAUGGAAAUGCAGAUGAAGAUGACUUGGCAGAAGAUUACAGAUUGGACAACCUAAACCGUAUGCAGCCUUUAUCCAUUGUUCCUGCUGGCCUUUCUGUAGCAAAUCCUUUUGCUGAUGCCUGGAUGCAGUCACUACAACCUGAUCCUACCCUUGUUUCUAGUCUUCCUUCCAACCCUGGACAAACGUACUUAGAAUUGCCAAACCAACCUGCUGCUCAAGCUUGUCUGGAUAUUGGAAGUGUCAAAUCAGAUCUUUCUUCACCUUGGUCUCCAGCUGUUAUGGAUCCUGUUCCAAGUUUACCCCAGCUUUCUUUGGGGCUUGCUGCAGAGAUGAAUAUGGGCCUCAAUCAAGGCUUGACAUCCCAUUCCCUACACAUUUCUCAGUCUAGCACUCAGCUUGACCCAGAUCUUGCCAUCCAUACUUGCAGUGAUGCAAGCACACCUGAGGAGCUAAAAGACUAUAGUACAAGCCCUGGACUAGAGAACCAAAAACGGCACUUGCCAGUCAACCUGAUUCCUGUUGCUUUACCAGACGUGCAGGAUCUAGGCAUCUGUACAUUUGAUCGUGCAGGAUCUGAACAUGAAGAGGAAGAGCCUGAGACUCUGCCUGCAGAUGAUGUGUUGCCUGGUCAAUCAACUGUGAAGACUUUUGCACAAUCCUCCCAUUCUACUGCCACAGGAGGUGAGGCUAGCGACACAGAAGGGGACAUGCAGAUCAGUGAUCCUACUGAACCUGGUUCCACCGGAAAUGAAUGCUUUGACGGCACACAAGUUGUCCACAGCAUGUCCACCUUGGUGGAAGAAUGUGAGAAGAUCGGUGUUGAAAUGGAGGGAGGGGGUGGUAGUGACACUCCUCAGUCUGCCACUUCAGCCGCAUCUUAUGGUUUUGAGUGUACCACCUCGAAUUCUAAUGCCCAGUCUACCACAGAGAGCUGUAUCAAAAGCCCAGGCAUUUUUUCUCUUGAAAAUGAAGAACAGCUUCCAGAUGAAGCCAAAGACCCGUCACUUAUUAAGGAGCUGAACUUUGUACCUGCUGGUGAUGCUGCAGAUGCUGAUCUCCUUGACCAGCAAGGGGAGCUUCUGUUGAAUUCCGAGCAGCAGUACAUGCUUUGUGGGGAGGUCACUUCAGUGUUACCAGAACCUUGCUCCCAAGGAGGCACUGUCCCCACUGAGACAGGCUUGGAUAGCUCUUCCUCAGAGCACCAAGAAGACUUGGCUCUUGAUGCACCACAUUCCUACUACUCCACAGUAUGCGAAAAGACUAAUAGCUUCUCGACAGGAAUUGUGACCACAGUCCACACAAGGUCACCCAAGCAAUAUUCUGGACUACGUGUGGAUCAUGUGACCCGUCUCCCUAAUGAUCUUCCUCCCAGGGUGCCAAAUGUGGGUUGUAACACUCAGCUCCGUCGGCUAGAAUGUCAUCAGCAGCAGCUUGAGGAGAUUGAACAGCGGCGGGAGCAACAGAGCCGAAGGGCUGAGAGACGAAUGGAGGAACGAGAAGGGGAGAGAAAAGACCCAAACCAAGUGGAGGAAGAGCUUGAAGAGAACCGGGAGGAGCUGGAGGAACAGAGGAGGGAUCUACUCCACCUGAAAAUUCAACAGCAGGAGCUGAAACAGAGGCAGCAGAUCAUGCAGUGGCAACAAGAGCUGGAACAACAGCAACAAAGUAAGCACCAGAAGACACUAACUCCAGUUCUUCUGUCACCGUCUGGUCUUUGCACCAUCUAUGAGGCACUAGAGACCAGUGAUGCAGAGGAAGACUUUGAAGACAAAAUGAAAGGGAGAGACAGGGUAAUGGAAGAAUAUGAAUGCUCCCCCAAAGAAAGAAGUAUCCUAGAGAUAAGCUUCUGUUCCGAUAACCCAGACUCUCCACAAUCACAGGGCACAUCACCAUCUCCAACUCUUAUUCAGGAUCAUGAAGGGCUAGCUAACUCUGUAACCUCAGACAGCCCUCCUCUUUCUAGAUCCAACUCUCCCCAGCAGCCUUGUCCUCUGGAACUUGACUGGAGCAAGAAAGCCGACAUUGUCCAACAGCUGAUUAACCAGACGCUAUUACUAAAUGGUGACAACUGCUCGCCACUUUUGCUCCUCCCUGGUGGGGCUGCUGGGACACUGAACCCACUGGAGACGAACCUGUGGCCCAACCUCUCCCCACUUACUCCACCUUCUGCCACAGUGACUUCUGUGAGCAGCUUCUCAGCUGAGAUUUCUGGCAGCUCUCCACAAGGGGAGUGGACAGUCGUGGAGCUCGAGACUCAUCAUUAAGGCCUACUGUUGGAGUGGAUGGAUUGAAAAGAGACAUCUCUCUUGUUGGAGCCAUGAUUCUUGCCAAUCCACUUGGUCCAGCAGCCCUCCAAGGUGUGAUAACUGCGCUGUUUCUAACUGCAGACUAACGAGCAGAUCUAACCUGAGGCAGGUGUCAAUUUAGGGAAAGGAAAUUGACUGGUGUUUCUGAAGGCCAAGAAGGUGCACUUUGGAAUGACUAUUAUUGUAUCAUGUUUGUGAUCUGUUUGUUCUACAGAAUAAAACGUCUGAGUGCUCAUCCAAGACUGGUGAUUCCAUACUUUUUGCCAGGGGUUGUAGAAUUGACUAAUGUUGGCAAUAAGUUUUAAGGCAUUAAUGUGCACACUUUGUUAAAAACUUGACUAAAGGAAUAGUCUUGAGGUUGAGGUCAACAUACCAGUUAACUGUUCACAAUAUGAAGGAAUGAAAAGCCUUAGUAAUGCACAUGAGAGCAUUUUUAGAAUGUUGAUACUAAUGGGAAAAGUCAUUUUCAGGAAAUUGAGCGGUCAGAUUAAAUGUUAAGGAUUUUUUUUUUCUUUUCCAGUUUAAGAAUAAAGUGGGAUCACUAAAAUGGGCAUUAAUGAAGGAUCAGCAAAACUGGCUCACACUGGGAGAAACUGGUGCUAUUUAAUAUUUCUAGAUUUAAAUUUAUUAUGGUAAAUGUUUUUAGUGAUGAGCACAAUUUGAUGAUGACCUGUUUAUUACUCAAAGUAUUCACCUUCAGCUGUUCAGGUGCGGUGAUGCAUUAAACCCUUAAUGGUAGCCGACACUGUCAAAGCUGUAUUUCGUGACCGUCAUUUUUAGAUUCUGUGAAUGGGUUUUGCCAUCUUUGUAUAUUACUCUACACUGUGACUGACCUAAAGUGUACAAGUAAAAUUCUAUAAGUGGUCUUGUAAUGUUAUACUAACCCUUUCCUGUGAAAUGUCCUUAUUUGCAUGUAUUGUGGCUUGUUUUCCAGCACUUGUGGUCGUUGUUUAGCUCUGUAUAGACGUGGCACAUCAUCUUGUGUAAUGGAGAUGCAUUUUCUCUGGUUAGUCUAAUUGAAGAACUAUAAUCGUGCCCAAAGGGAAUGCUUCUUAAUUUUGGAUAAACAUAAGGGUGCAGAUGGAUCAUUGUAGCCCUUGAUAUUGCAUGCUUGAUUAAAUGGUCAUAACUGUGUAGAUGCCCAUAAAAGUAGAUUUAAAUUGAAGUGUAGACUUCACCAAGUCUAGGUAUUUUGUCAAUCCGUCUUUCAUUGUCUUGUUUUAAGCCCUUUUUUUUUUUAAGUUUAUAGUCAAGAUUCCAUUAAUAGUUUAGUCACUGAACACUAAAAUCAGGGAAUUAAGUCUCCAGGUAUAUUCAGACCAGUACAACUGUUGCGGUCUUCACUGUGGAAUGAAAAUUUCAUGUCUUGGUGCCAGCGUACAUCAGGAUUAGUGUAGGCCAGACCCACUGGACUUGCUCAUGUUUUAAUAAUUCACUGUAAAUAACAAUCAGGGAGCAAAGAAAAACAAAGGGAUCAGAACUAUUAAAAGGAAACCCAAAAACUCAUGAACUGUGAUCACAUGCACAACAAAUGGAAAUGUAACUUAGUUUUGUUCUGUACUACUUUUUGUAUAUUUUUGUAAUUUAUUUUCAAAUGAAGGAAUGUAUUUUUGUAUUUAGUUUGUACGUUAUCAAACCAUGGCAGCUCGAUUUAUUUUUCAGACUGUGCAAAUUACUGUUUCAAUGCUGAAAUGAAAAUAAACCUGGAUGGG